rnacentral:rRNA from 1 species
UACGUAGGGAGCAAGCGUUGUCCGGAAUCAUUGGGCGUAAAGCGCGUGUAGGCGGCCCGAAAAGUCUGGUGUGAAAACUUGAGGCUCAACCUCAAGCUGUCGCUGGAUACUGUCGGGCUUGAAUCCGGAAGAGGAGUGUGGAAUUCCCAGUGUAGAGGUGAAAUUCGUAGAUAUUGGGAAGAACACCGGUGGCGAAGGCGACCAUCUGGACCGCAACUGACGCUGAGGCGCGAAAGCGUGGGGAGCAAACAGG